rfam:Triticum aestivum genome assembly, contig: Triticum_aestivum_CS42_TGACv1_scaffold_031837_1BL
GAAAUACUCCCUCCGUCCCAAAAUUCUUGUCUAAAAGUGUUAGAUACAUCCAUAUCUAGAUAAAUCUAAGACAAGAAUUUUGGGACGGAGGGAGUAGAAA